UCGACGAGAAGCACUUCGGUGUGAGUACAGUGGCGGACGGGUGAGUAACGCGUAGGAAUCUACCUUAUAGUGGGGGACAACUCGGGAAAACUCGAGCUAGUACCGCAUACGCUCUUGGCGUCUUCGGACAAAGAGAGGAAAGCAGGGGACCUUCGGGCCUUGCGCUAUUAGAGGAGCCUGCGUUGGAUUAGCUUGUUGGUGAGGUAAAGGCUCACCAAGGCGACGAUCUAUAGAUCAGCUGAGAGGACGAUCAGCCACACUGGAACUGAGACACGGUCCAGACUCUUACGGGAGGCAGCAGUAGGGAAUCUUGGUCAAUGGGCGCAAGCCUGAACCAGCGAUGCCGCGUGUGCGAAGAAGGCCCUAGGGUUGUAAAGCACUUUCAGUCGCGAAGAAAAGCUUCGAAUUAAUACUUUGGAGUC
rnacentral:rRNA from 1 species